rnacentral:rRNA from 1 species
AGAGUUUGAUCCUGGCUCAGGAUGAACGCUAGUGGCAGGCCUAAUACAUGCAAGUCGAACGGUGAUAGCAAUAUCAUAGUGGCGCACGGGUGCGUAACACGUAUGCAACCUACCUUAUACUGAGGGAUAGCCUUUCGAAAGGGAGAUUAAUACCUCAUAACACAUUGAACUGGCAUCAGUUUAUUGUUAAAGAUUUAUUGGUAUAAGAUGGGCAUGCGUCCAAUUAGUUAGUUGGCGAGGUAACGGCUCACCAAGACGAUGAUUGGUAGGGGAACUGAGAGGUUAAUCCCCCACACUGGCACUGAGAUACGGGCCAGACUCCUACGGGAGGCAGCAGUAGGGAAUAUUGGGCAAUGGAGGCAACUCUGACCCAGCCAUGCCGCGUGCAGGAAGAAGGCGUUAUGCGUUGUAAACUGCUUUUAUAUAGGAAGAAAUAGACCUUGCGAGGUAAGUUGACGGUACUAUAUGAAUAAGCACCGGCUAACUCCGUGCCAGCAGCCGCGGUAAUACGGAGGGUGCAAGCGUUGUCCGGAUUUAUUGGGUUUAAAGGGUGCGUAG